rnacentral:snRNA from 1 species
GUGUUCACUUCAGCAGCACAUAUACCAAAAUUGAACAAUCCAUGUAAAAAUUAG